CCUCUCAUGUGGACUGUGAGAAAUGCCUCUAAAAAUGCACCGAUCCAUCAUGGAUCCGAUGAAACUCCUUUGGAAAUGAGGCACCGAUCCACCACACCUCCCUAUGGAUCGUCAGUCCGCAGUGGACUGUAGUACACCAGCCUGCUCACUAGCUAGGCCUACUCAUGCACUACCACGUGUGCUCACUCUACAGUCGAGCUUGGCCUGCUCUGCCAUGGCCUUUGCCAGUCUGUGGGCUCCUUCGACAGUUUGUGGGCUGUACCAACCUCCGUACUGACUUUUCUUGCACGUAUUUUCACCGUCUGAACUCCAUUUAGACCAUUCUUAGGCUCGUUUGACUCUGUUUGUCAUCCUAAAUCUUGUUUUGAGAUUAUUAUGGAUCGAAUCUUGAGGAUUUUUCUAACACAAUACUUGUAGAUGGAUAUAAAUCCAUGUCUAUAUAAAUGGACAGUCAUUGUAUCCCUAUCAAGCAUUUCUCUAUUGCCACAUCUCUUAUAAGGGCAAUGAGCCUACCCUUGAUUAUAAGAGUGCCACAUUCUCAUUAUGUACCCCCUUUAUAUUCAGUAGAAAUCGCUCCAUCGA
rnacentral:lncRNA from 1 species